CGCGAGACCUGGAGGCAGCGGCGCGCGAGGCGAGGCGAGGCGAGGCAACAGCGACGGCGACGGCGACGGCGACGGCACGCGAGGCGCUAAGGUGGUAGCGCGAGGCAACAGUGACGGCGACGGCUACGCUCUCCGCCGCCUUCUCGCUGGUCCGGUUGUUCACCUUGAUGGAUUGGCCUAUCUGGGCCUUCCCGAAUGCUAGAUGGAUUCUUGAUUCGAUGGUUCUUGGGGGGCCAGGACGGUUCUUUAUUUCGUGUGAUUAUUACCUUUUGAAACUUUCAGAAUAUUUGUUAGUAAUUUAUUUCUUGUAAAGCUAUUAUCUUAAAGCCUUUGGUUUUCUACUUACUACAGGAUUCUUCUUGACAAAAAUUUUCCAUCCAAACAUAGCAACUAGUGGUGAGAUAUGUGUGAACACACUGAAGAAGGAUUGGAAUCCUAGUCUUGGAUUAAGACACAUUCUGUUAGUAAACUGAAAGUGCAACGCCCUAGUUCUGUUUUGCUGCUAAUUGCAUGAUGGGUCUGUAAGCAAUUGCUAGGUAGUGAGACACCUUCUGAUUGAACCAUUUCCUGAAUCUGCCUGCUACUUGAAAACUACUCCAGCCUUGGUAUGAGGAGUAUUCACGGCAUGCAAGGCUAUACACUGGUAUCCAUGCGCUCAAGCCUAAGAACAAGUCGAAGAGUGGAGCUAUUUCUAAGUCAACCACAGUUCUAAAUGUGGGCCAGUCCAAUACUGUUCUCUGUGAGAACACACCUUUGGCAUCAGCAGCGAUAUCUACCUCUGUUGUGGCGAAAGCAUUAGGUAAAAACUCACAGGAUCAGAAUGCUGCUACGUCGAAUCCUGUUGUAGGAGCAUUCACUGCACCCAAGAAGGAUGCGCCACAUGCUGCCAAAGUUCCGGUUGAUAAGAAGAAGCUGGAUGCAAGGAAGAAGAAUUUGAAGAGAUUGUAGUCGAAUAAUCCUGGGAGGCUAGGUUACUUAGUGAUAGAUAAAAUAAUGAUAUCUUCAUUAGUGCUAGAUUCAACAGAUGCCCGGUAGAACUGAAAAGAAAAGUGAAGAUGACAAACAGCCGGAGAGGCAUCUCAUAUCUGGCUGUCUGUGCUCUCUGUUGGGACAAACUGUCUGGGCAUCUCAUGCCAGUUUUUUUUAUUGAUGGCUUGUUUGUCUCCUGUUAAA